CGCCUCUUGUAAACAUAUAAGAGGUCCAGCCUGCCCAGUGACUGAGUUUAACGGCCGCGGUAUCCUAACCGUGCGAAGGUAGCGUAAUCACUUGUUCUUUAAAUGAGGACUGGUAUGAACGGCAUCACGAGGGUUAUACUGUCUCCUUUUUCCAAUCAAUGAAACUGAUCUCCCCGUGAAGAAGCGGGGAUAUAACUAUAAGACGAGAAGACCCUAUGGAGCUUUAAACUAUGUAACACUGGCUUAUCAAACUUCUAUAUUUCAGAAUUGCUAUAAUUACUCUAGCCAUCCUGUUUACUAGUUUUAGGUUGGGGUGACCACGGAGCAAAAAUUAACCUCCAUGAUGAACGGAACCAUUCCUGAGCCAAAAGCUACAACUUUAAGCACUAACAAAUUAAUAUUAAUUGACCCAAUAUUUUGAUCAACGAACCAAGUUACCCUAGGGAUAACAGCGCA
rnacentral:rRNA from 1 species